rnacentral:rRNA from 1 species
AUUCUUCUAUACUAUUUAUUUUUAGUAUAGGGAAGUAUAUAAAGAAACUAUUAGGGAUACCUGGCUAUAUAUUAAAGAGAGUUUAUAUUUAAUUUGUAUUUAUAUAAUAAUAGGUAAUACAUGUACUCUUAGAGAAAUUCAGUAAUAAACGAAGUGAACUGAAAUAUCUUAGUAACUUCAGGAAAAGAAAUCAAACGAGAUUCUAUGAUUAAUGAGAAUGAAAGUAGAAGAGCCUAUCAAAUAUCGGUUUAUAUUAAAUCUAGGUUGUUAUAAAUUUAAAUAAUAUUAUUUUAACUAAAUAAUAUUUAGUUAAAACAUAUCUAGGAUUAACAUAACAAUAACUAGUGCUAAUAUAAAAGAAUUAUAACUUUAAUAAACUAAAAAGAUGAGAAGUUAUAUAAUUAGGAUUUUAUUAUUACUUUAAUAAACUAAUAAGGUGAGAAGUAAUAUAGAAAUCUACUGAUAUUUUUUAAUAAGUAAAACGGGUAAAACCUGUUUGAAUAUAAAGGGGAACCUUCCUCUAAGGCUAAAUAUAAUAUAUAAGCGACAGCGUAUAGUACUGUGAAGGAAAGGUUUGAAAUAGUAGUUUUAUAAGCAGCUCAAGUAAAGUUUAAAUAACAAGUGAGAGCGUACCUUUUGCAUAAUGGGUCAGCAAGUUAAUAUUAGAUGCGAGCAGAAAUGCCUAGAUAAACCAAUUAUGAAAUAAUGAAUUAGUAUCUAAAAUUAGACCCGAAGCCUGGUGAUCUUACCACAAUCAGGGUUAUAAAAGCCUGAACGGGUUAUCGUUGUAAAGAUAUCCGAAGAAUUGUGGUAAGUUAGUGAAAGACAAUACUGACUAGGAUAGCUGGUUUUCUGCGAAACCUAUAUAAGUAGGUAAUUCAAUUUACACCAUAGCAGGUACAGAACUGUGAUCUCAGGCAACUUAUAAUUUAUUUUUUUUAUAAAAAUAAAUUAUAAUUUUGCAUAUAUCGGGCAAUCGUGAAGAUUUUAUCGGUGAGUAUUCGCACUCGGAAGGGCAAUGGUGAAUAUUGAAUAAUCGGACAUAGUACGAUAAGGUUGUAUGUCUAAAGGGAAACAGCCCAGAACAAGAGUUAAGGUUCCAAAAUUAUUGUUAAGUGAAAUUAAGGAAGUUUCUAUCUUAUACGACUAGGAAAUAGGCUUAGAAGCGGUCAUUUUUUGAAGAUCUCGUAACAGAGCACUGGUUUGGUAAAAGAUUUUUUACAUUGAUAGUUGCACCGAAGAUUUAACGGAUCUAAACAAUAUACCGACACCUUGUCCAUAUUUAUGAAUAAUUUAUAUUAUUAUAUCUGAUGGGGUAGCAGAACGUUGGGUAAAUCUUAGACUUAUUCUUUUUAAGAAUAUUAAUAGAUAACCCAAGUGAGAAUGCUGACAUGAGUAACGAAAAAGGGUGGCGGAAGCGUGCCCUCGCCUAAAGCUUAUGGAUUUUAUAAAGUAACGGCCUCUAAGUUUAUUAACCUAAAGGAUUAAACGAUGAGCAAAUCUUUGUUACAUAGUAACAACCUUCUUUAAAGAAAGUGAAGAGGGUUCUGGAAAAACAGUAAUUCUAUAUCACUUUAAUAAACUAAUAAGAUGAGAAGUGAUUUAAAGUUAUAUAUUAUUUCAAUAAACUUAAUUGAUGAGGAAUAAUAUAAAAAGAAAAAAUAAAACCGUACCUAGAAACUACCACAAGUAAGCUAGUAGAGUAUACGAAGGCGUUUGAGUGAACAAUCAUUAAGGAACUCGGCAAACUAACUACCGUAACUUCGGGACAAGGAGUGCCAUUCCUCCUGAUUAAUAUCAGGUAAAGAAUAGGAAGCAUAGAAUAGUGUUGUACGACUGUUUAAUUAAAACAAAGCACUCUGCAGUAAGAUAAUAAAUCAAAGUAUUGAGUGUGAUUUCUGCCCGAUGUCGGCUGGUUAACGGAUUUGCUAAGUUGACUAAUAUAAGCUUGGCUUUGAAGGAAACCCCGAUCAAUGGCGGCCUUACCUAUGAGGGUCCUAAGGUAGCGGAAUACCUUGGCCGUUAAAUGCGGUCUUGCAUGAAUGAUUUAACGAUACAACAGCUGUCUCAAUGAUUGGCUCAGUGAAAUUGGAAUAACUGUGCAGAUACAGUUUACCUCUAGUUAGACGAGAAGACCCUAUGCAGCUUUACUGUUGCUAGUUAUUGAAUAUGAUACAAUGAAUUUUAGUGUAUAAGGUAGUAAAGUACACAAUUGAAACACCUUUAUUUAAUUUAUCAUAUUGGUAGACUUAGUCUACGUCAGAGUAUAAGUAUCUCUUAUGAGAUACUUCAAUACAAGACUAACCUUCAUUUAGGAGGGACAAUUGCUAGGAGGCAGUUUAUGCGGGGCACAGAUCCCAUAAAAAGUACCUGGGUGUAUCCAAAGUUAAUUUUGUAAAAUUAUCAUAAUUUAAUUAUAAUAAUUAAAUAUACAAAUUUUGUAUAUUUUUUAUUUUUAAUUUGUUAUUUAGUGUAGUUUAAGCUACAACUAAUCCAGCUAUAUAUCUAUUGAGUUAGAACUAACAAUUUUUAUUCAAGUAAGAUUUUAACUAUAUGGAAAAUAGUUGUAAAUAAAACAUUAAUUAGAUAAAAAAUCUAAUGUUUUUAGUUAUAUUAUUAGCAUGUUUAAUAGAUAAACAAAACCGACGACCGUUAAUAAUAUAAUUAUGUUUAUUACUUGUCAAGUUUAAUGGCUUAAUCUUGCUUUACUGUUUGACUUACACGUCUAUCAGU